GAUGAACGCUGGCGGCGUGCCUAAUACAUGCAAGUCGAGCGAACAGACGAGGAGCUUGCUCCUCUGACGUUAGCGGCGGACGGGUGAGUAACACGUGGAUAACCUACCUAUAAGACUGGGAUAACUUCGGGAAACCGGAGCUAAUACCGGAUAAUAUAUUGAACCGCAUGGUUCAAUAGUGAAAGACGGUUUUGCUGUCACUUAUAGAUGGAUCCGCGCCGCAUUAGCUAGGUGGUAAGGUAACGGCUUACCAAGGCAACGAUGCGUAGCCGACCUGAGAGGGUGGUCGGCCAAAAUGGAACUGGGACACGGUCCAGACUCCUACGGGAGGCAGCAGUAGGGAAACUUGCGCAAUGGGCGAAAGCCUGACGGAGCCACACCGCGUGAGUGAUGAAGGUCUUCGGAUCGUAAAACUCUGUUAUUAGGGAAGAACAAAUGUGUAAGUAACUAUGCACGUCUUGACGGUACCUAAUCAGAAAGCCACGGCUAACUACGUG
rnacentral:rRNA from 1 species